rfam:Rhodobacteraceae bacterium CG2_30_10_405 cg_3.0_sub100_scaffold_984_c, whole genome shotgun sequence.
GCGGGUAUGGUGAAAUGGUAUCAUAAGACCCUUCCAAGGUUAAGGCGCGGGUUCGAUUCCCGCUACCCGCU